GAUGAACGCUGGCGGCAGGCCUAACACAUGCAAGUCGAGCGGCAGCGGAAGGAAGCUUGCUUUCUUGCCGGCGAGCGGCGGACGGGUGAGUAAGGUAUGGGGAUCUGGCCGAAGGCGGGGGAUAACCACUGGAAACGGUGGCUAAUACCGCAUAAUCUCUAAGGAGCAAAGUGGGGGACCGUUCAGGCCUCACACCUUCGGAUGAACCCAUAUGAGAUUAGCUAGUAGGUGGGGUAAUGGCUCACCUAGGCGACGAUCUCUAGCUGGUCUGCGAGGAUGAUCAGCCACACUGGGACUUAGACACGGCCCAGACUCCUACGGGAGGCAGCAGUGGGGAAUAUUGCACAAUGGGCGCAAGCCUGAUGCAGCCAUGCCGCGUGUAUGAAGAAGGCAUUCGGGUUGUAAAGUACUUUCAGUCGUGAGGAAGGUGUUAAGGUUAAUAACCUUAGCAAUUGACGUUAGCGACAGAAGAAGCACCGGCUAACUCCGUGCCAGCCGCCGCCGUAA
rnacentral:rRNA from 1 species